GGGGGCGAUCCGGUUUCGACGGAGAUAUCUGGCGGAGCCAGGUUGCAUGCCGGGGUCCCGAACCUCGUUAUCAAGCGGGAAACCAUCAAUUGCCAACGAUAACUUGGCUCUGGCUGCAUAACUAAUGCAGCCACGUCCGUUGCGAACUCCCCGCCUGUGGAGACGCUGCGGGCGACGAUAAAGCAGGCUGGCCUCAUGUGGCGCCGGGACGCCUGAGGUAAGAUCUUCCCCGGCUAACCGGAUGGCGUGUUCUGUCGGUGGAAUGGCCAUCCGUCGACGAUCAAACAUCGACUAAGCAUGUAGAGGCCCGGUUUGGCCUGUCUUCGGACGCGGGUUCGAUUCCCGCCGCCUCCACCA
rnacentral:tmRNA from 1 species